rnacentral:rRNA from 1 species
AGAGUUUGCUCCUGGCUCAGAAUGAACGCUGGCGGCGUGCUUAACACAUGCAAGUCGUACGAGAACGCUUCAGCUUGCUGGAGCUAGUAAAGUGGCGCACGGGUGAGUAACGCGUGGGUAAUCUACCUCCGAAUUGGGGAUAACACUGCGAAAGCGGUGCUAAUACCGAAUAAUAUCUCUGGAAUUCCGGUUCUGGAAAUCAAAGGUGGCCUCUACAUGUAAGCUAUCGUUUGGAGAUGAGCCCGCGUACCAUUAGCUAGUUGGUGGGGUAACGGCCUACCAAGGCUGCGAUGGUUAGCUGGUCUGAGAGGAUGAUCAGCCACACUGGAACUGACACACGGUCCAGACUCCUACGGGAGGCAGCAGUGAGGAAUCUUGCGCAAUGGGGGAAACCCUGACGCAGCAACGCCGCGUGAGUGAUGAAGGCUUUCGGGUCGUAAAGCUCUGUCAAGUGGGAAGAAACUGCAACAUGCUAAUAUCAUGAUGCAUUGACGGUACCACUGAAGGAAGCACCGGCUAACUCCGUGCCAGCAGCCGCGGUAAUACGGGGGGUGCUAGCGUUAUUCGGAAUCAUUGGGCGUAAAGGGCGCGUAGGCGGUCUCUUGUGUCAGAUGUGAAAGCCCUCGGCUUAACCGAGGAAGUGCAUUUGAAACUGAGAGACUUGAGUAUGGGAGAGGGAAGCGGAAUUCCUGGUGUAGCGGUGAAAUGCGUAGAUAUCAGGAGGAACACCGGUGGCGAAGGCGGCUUCCUGGACCAAUACUGACGCUGAGGCGCGAAGGCGUGGGGAGCAAACAGGAUUAGAUACCCUGGUAGUCCACGCAGUAAACGGUGAACACUAGGUGUAGCGGGUAUUGACCCCUGCUGUGCCGAAGCUAACGCAUUAAGUGUUCCGCCUGGGAAGUACGGCCGCAAGGUUAAAACUCAAAGGAAUUGACGG